rnacentral:lncRNA from 1 species
GUCCUGUUAAGGUUAAAAUACGUUACUACAGUACAAGUUCUUAUUAAGGAUGUUGCACAGUAACUGACUUCUUCUUUCAGGAAUAUCAAAGUAUUACUAUAAAUCACGAGCUGUGUUAUAUCAUGAGGUUAUACAGGCAUUAUACACCUAUUCUCUGACUUCCUUCCAUCUUUCUACUUUUAAUUGCGAUCCACGAAAUAUAAUCCAGUUUAGAAGAUUCCAUGCUUAUCUCAUCCUUUUUCCAGUGAAUCUCUCGUCUCCGGCGGCGCCCGCUCG